UCAGCUGGAGAAGGUGUGACAUCCAUAGCGCCCUGUGGUGAUGGUCACCAGUUCUUUGUGGGCACAGAAGUGACACAGAUCUACCAUUUCAACUGCACUGACUUCAAAGAGGAGCUCAUCACCUGAUCACCACCAGCCAUAACAGCGCCGUGAACAAUCCUGGAAUGAGGCUGCAAGAGGAUUGCCAGCGGGGGAGGGGAGGGUGAAAACGAUAAAGCACCAUGGAGAUAAACAACAACGAUGGAGAUAAAGAACCAUGAGCAUUACAAAGUACAAAUAGGGUCGCCGUUGAUAAUGGCAGACCCUGGCCGUGACCCCACUUUCCGAGGGAGUCUCAAGGAGAGUUGGGAUAUGCAAAAAUACACAUUUCCAAUUCACACAUGCAUAUUAAUACACGCUUGUACAUGCAUGAAAUAGGACAAUAAGCACCCACCAAAUUAUUUGAUUAGAGAUACCUUUAUGCCUUAGAAGGUAAUUAGUGGGCAUGAAACCACUGCACUGUGUUAGGGCUACCAGAUAAACAACGUUUUCAAAAACCACAAGCAUUGCACGCCUUGGCUCAUGUUUAUUCAUAACAGAAUCUGGUUACAAUGCUAUUGAUAWGAAGAAAGGACUAAUAGUUUWACAAAUAUAAUCAAAUACUAAGAGUGAAACAGUGAAAUAGUGAAACAAAUAGAAGCAGCAGAUAUACUCUGGUUAGAAGUGUCUGCUACCACCCUGAGGAGUACCAGAUCAUCACUAGUGACACAGACAGAAAGGUACAUCCACCACAGUAGGAUAUAGAAGAGCAUUUACUGAGGUCAGACUCAUUUGUGCCACAGACUAAAGUAUUGAGGGAGAAUUCAACUCUGAUURGGUUAAUGACUACCAUAGUAUUUAUUUACAGUUAUUACCAUGGGUUUUGAAACACAAUGGAUGAUUGAUCGCACAGUGAGUUGUGUGUGAGCGCCAUCUCCUUGCCACUGGUCAUAUUUUAGCGCCAGAUGUCAUAGUAGCGUAAUGCAAUGACAAUGACAGUGCAUUGUAUUCUCUGCUAAGGGAUUGUUUGUUCCUAAAGCAGACGGCAUAGCUAUGACUCAGGCAACCAGAUGGUCUGUGUCACCCACUUCAUCUAGGAUGAUGUUAACUUCUUCACAGAAAACCACAUUGUAAAAUCCUCUCUCCAUGUUUAGCUUAAACAUUUUUUAUUUCACUGCUUUACCAGAGCAAGCCAUUGAGUAGCACACUACCAUCAUCUUUUUUUUAUUAUUUGAGGUAUUCCACAGAGAUUAUUUCCCUUGGGGGUUGAUAAUCAGAGUCCUUCAUGAAUACAGUCYAUAAUGUAUUGAUGACAUUGGGUACAUAAUGCUGGUUUAACAGAAACCUAUAUUAAAAGUAUCAAAGUUGACCUUACAGUACCAGUAAAUCAAACUGCAACACUUUUAAAUAAACACUUUGCCAUUUCUUUUUAACUGAGGGGGAGUGUUCUGUGUAUACAUAGAAUGUACUUUUUGCUAGCAUCAUAUCUUUACAUCAAAGGACUAGGUAUCUGUAAACUACACAGUACUGGAACAUGUGUUUUUUCAUGAAAAGUUGAGGCACAAUCACAUAGGAUAUACAAUCUAAACUCCUCCCCCUCUUCCUGUGCACAUUCUGUGUAACUUUGCAAUGACAGAAAAAAUAGAAAGGCACCUGCGUUUUAAAAGGGACAUGUGGUAUUUGUGGUCUAAAUCUAACUUAAAGUAACAGUUGCAACGGGAGGCCAAAGCUGGAAGGAGACAGCUGCCAACCCCAGAGAUGAUUAUUGCUUACUCACACACAAAUAUAUGUUUUAACAACUGCAUGUUACUAUUUGAUAGACGGUAGCGGGGACCAUUUGCAUACUGUGAAGKACUCAUUAGGAUAAAGUCAAGGCCUUAGGUCAAAAUCCCCCCAAAUUAUUUACCAGACGAAUUCUGGUGUGCACGAUACAUCUGCUUAUAAUGUUAAAAAGAGGAGGAGAGAUUGACGCAAAUUUGUUUUAAUUAAAAAGUUUGAAUAAUGAA